rnacentral:rRNA from 1 species
GGGUCAUUAGGUUGGUCGUGCCACCGGUACGUACUGGUCUCACUGAUUCCUCCUUCCUGAAGAACCGUAAUGCCAUUAAUUUGGUGUUGCGGGGAAACAGGACUGUUACUUUGAAAAAAUUAGAGUGUUUAAAGCAAGCUAACGCUUGAAUACAUUAGCAUGGAAUAAUGAAAUAGGACGACCGAUCCUAUUUUGUUGGUUUCUAGGAUUGACGUA